rnacentral:rRNA from 1 species
AUUGAACGCUGGCGGCAUGCCUUACACAUGCAAGUCGAACGGCAGCACGGGGCAACCUGGUGGCGAGUGGCGAACGGGUGAGUAAUGCAUCGGAACGUACCUUUCAGUGGGGGAUAACGUAGCGAAAGUUACGCUAAUACCGCAUAUUCUGUGAGCAGGAAAGCAGGGGAUCGCAAGACCUUGCGCUGAUUGAGCGGCCGAUGUCAGAUUAGCUAGUUGGUGAGGGAAAGGCUCACCAAGGCGACGAUCUGUAGCGGGUCUGAGAGGAUGAUCCGCCACACUGGAAAGGAGAAACGGUCCAGACUCCUACGGGAGGCAGCAGUGGGGAAUUUUGGACAAUGGGGGCAACCCUGAUUCAGCCAUGCCGCGUGAGUGAAGAAGGCCUUCGGGUUGUAAAGCUCUUUCGGCCGGGAAGAAAUCGCACGGGCUAAUAACCUGUGUGGAUGACGGUACCGGAAUAAGAAGCACAGGCUAACUACGUGCCAGCAGCCGCCGUAAUAC